AGAGCGAACGCUGGCGGCAGGCCUAACACAUGCAAGUCGAACGGAUCCUUCGGGAUUAGUGGCGGACGGGUGAGUAACACGUGGGAACGUGCCUUUUGGUUCGGAACAACUCAGGGAAACUUGAGCUAAUACCGGAUGUGCCCUUCGGGGGAAAGAUUUAUCGCCAUUAGAGCGGCCCGCGUCUGAUUAGCUAGUUGGUGGGGUAAAGGCCUACCAAGGCAACAAUCAGUAGCUGGUCUGAGAGGAUGAUCAGCCACAUUGGGACUGAGACACGGCCCAAACUCCUACGGGAGGCAGCAGUGGGGAAUCUUGCGCAAUGGGCGAAAGCCUGACGCAGCCAUGCCGCGUGAAUGAUGAAGGUCUUAGGAUUGUAAAAUUCUUUCGACCGGGGACGAUAAUGACGGUACCCGGAGAAGAAGCCCGGCUAACUUCGCGCCAGCAGCCGC
rnacentral:rRNA from 1 species